rnacentral:rRNA from 1 species
UACGUAGGUGGCAAGCGUUGUCCGGAUUUAUUGGGUUUAAAGGGUGCGUAGGCGGCCUAUUAAGUCAGUUCUGAAAUAUCCCGGCUUAACCGGGAGGGUGGGAUUGAUACUGAUGGGCUUGAGUGGAUUCGAGGUAGGCGGAAUUGACGGUGUAGCGGUGAAAUGCUUAGAUAUCGUCAAGAACACCGAUAGUGUAGACAGCUUACUAGACUUCAACUGACGCUGAGGCACGAAAGUGUGGGGAUCAAACAGGAUUAGAUACCCCGUAGUCC